rnacentral:rRNA from 1 species
UGAACGCUGGCGGCGUGCCUAAUACAUGCACGUCGCGCGAACAGACGAGGAGCUUGCUCCUCUGACGUUAGCGGCGGACGGGUGAGUAACACGUGGAUAACCUACCUAUAAGACUGGGAUAACUUCGGGAAACCGGAGCUAAUACCGGAUAAUAUAUUUAACCGCAUGGUUCAAUAGUGAAAGACGGUUUUGCUGUUACUUAUAGAUGGAUCCGCGCCGCAUUAGCUAGUUGGUAAGGUAACGGCUUACCAAGGCAACGAUGCGUAGCCGACCUGAGAGGGUGAUCGGCCACACUGGAUCUGAGACACGGUCCAGACUCCUACGGGAGGCAGCAGUAGGGAAUCUUCCGCAAUGGGCGAAAGCCUGACGGAGCAACGCCGCGUGAGUGAUGAAGGUCUUCGGAUCGUAAAACUCUGUUAUUAGGGAAGAACAAAUGUGUAAGUAACUAUGCACGUCUUGACGGUACCUAAUCAGAAAGCCACGGCUAACUACGUG